GAGUCGUCACUGGGCCCCACGCCCUUCGAUCUUCCCGCAAUUUGGAGAGAGAGAAGACGGGCCAGUAAAGCCCUCUCCUCACUCCUGUUUCGUGCUCCAGCAAGCUGAAGGAGGAGGAGAAGAAGAAGAAGAAGAAGAAGAAGACAAUCGACGAAAUGGAUUGCAUAUACAAGAACUCUAACGCCCCCGUUGAGGCCAGAAUCAAAGACCUACUCUCCCGCAUGACUCUCCAGGAGAAGAUCGGCCAGAUGACCCAAAUCGACCGCCGCGUCACCACCCCUUUCGUCCUCCGCAACCUCUCCAUCGGCAGUAUUCUCAGUGCCGGCGGCGGCGGGCCAUUCGAGAAAGCGACGUCGUCUGAUUGGGCCGACAUGAUCGAUGCUUUCCAGAGGGCCGCGCUCGAGUCUCGCCUCAGUAUUCCGCUGCUCUACGGGACCGACGCCGUCCAUGGCAACAACAACGUCUAUGGCGCCACCGUCUUUCCUCACAACGUUGGCCUCGGAGCCACCGGGGAUGCGGAAUUGGCUCGGAGGAUUGGGGUCGUUACUGCUCUUGAAGUUAGGGCUUCUGGUGCCAAUUACACUUUCGCCCCCUGUGUGGCUGUAUGCAGAGAUCCCAGAUGGGGAAGAUGCUAUGAGAGUUUCAGCGAAGAUACUGAGGUUGUCCGAAGGAUGACUUCUAUUGUUACAGGUUUGCAGGGAGAGCCACCCCAAGGACACCCAAAGGGCUAUCCUUUUGUUGCUGGAAGAAAGAAUGUUGUUGCAUGUGCCAAGCAUUUUGUUGGAGAUGGGGGCACUGACAAGGGGAUUAAUGAGGGGAACACAGCAACAUCAUAUGACGAGUUAGAGAGAAUCCAUAUGGCACCUUAUCUGGAUUGUUUUUCUCAAGGAGUUUGCACUGUCAUGGUAUCCUACUCUAGCUGGAACGGAAGGAAACUACAUUCUGACUAUUUUCUCCUUACACAAGUUUUGAAAGAAAAGCUGGGAUUUAAGGGUUUUGUCAUUUCUGAUUCUGAAGCACUUGACCGGCUUUCCCAUCCUUAUGGUUCUAACUAUCGAAACUGUGUCCUGUCAGCCAUCAAUGCUGGAAUUGACAUGGUGAUGGUGCCGUUUCGGUAUAAAUUAUUUCUGGAGGACUUGACAUGUUUAGUAGAAUCAGGCAAGAUUUCUAUUUCUAGAAUUGAUGAUGCUGUUGAAAGGAUCCUGCGAGUUAAAUUUAUUGCUGGACUUUUUGAGCAUCCCUUGACUGAUAGAUCAUUGCUAGAUACAGUUGGUUGCAAGCUGCAUAGAGAACUAGCACGUGAAGCAGUUCGCAAAUCCUUAGUUUUGUUGAAGAAUGGAAAGGAUCCAAGGAAACCAUUUCUUCCUUUAAACAGGAAUGCUGAAAAAAUUCUUGUUACUGGAACACAUGCUGAUAAUCUUGGAUAUCAGUGUGGAGGGUGGACAGCUACUUGGAUGGGAGACAGUGGCAGAAUUACGAUUGGUACAACAAUUUUGGAUGCCAUCAGAGAAGCAGUUGGUGAGAAAACAGAAGUGGUACAUGAGCUAAGACCAUCAGCAGACACAUUUGCAAGUCAAGAUUUCUCUUUUGCCAUUGUAGCUGUGGGCGAGGGUCCAUAUGCUGAAUCUAUUGGUGAUAACCCAGGGCUCAUUAUCCCUUUUGGUGGAACAGAAUUGAUUAGCUCAGUUGCUGACAAAAUACCCACAUUGGUGAUUUUGAUUUCCGGUAGGCCCCUGGUUAUAGAACCCUGGCUGUUGGAAAAGAUGGAUGCUCUGGUGGCAGCUUGGCUGCCUGGCAGUGAAGGAGGAGGAAUAGCAGAUGUAAUCUUUGGCGAUUACGAAUUCCAAGGAAAGCUUCCUGUGACAUGGUUUAGAAGGGUUGAACAACUGCCAGUGCAUGCCGGUGCGAAUUCUUCUGACACUCUAUUUCCGUUGGGCUUCGGCUUGACAAGCAAGGAGGAGGGCUUCUGACUCAACUAAUUAGUUUAUUAAAACUAAAUGCACACAAGCCUUCCAUGUUACCAGUAUAAAUCAGGGGUUAUUUGUCAGAGUUGUAAUAUAGAGGAGGAAUCAGGCAGCAUUGCAUUUGAAAUUCACAACUACUUUUGGGACUUCAAGAUUAUGUUGUAUGUUGAGUCUGCAAAAUCUUGGAGCCUCUUAGGUUGGUACUGGUUGUUGAUACAAAUGAACCUUUAAGCAUUGCAUUAAGGCAUGAAGAAUGUGGGAUUGGAGACUCAAAUUAGAUUGAAGAAUGAAGAAUUAAAGUCAAUAAAGAAUUAAAGUUCAUGAAGAAUUAAAGCCCAACUUGAGCAACCCAUAGAAGAUAUCAUUUGGAGAAGGCACAAACAUUAUUUUUAAUCCUAAUGAAAAUCAAAAAUUCAAUUGUAGAAAUUUAUUUUUUUUUUUAAAUAUUUGUUUUGUGAGUGCUUUAUUAGGUGUGUUUUUUAGCUAAAAUUUAUUUAACUAUUAGGUGUGUAUUAUAGCUAAAAUUUAUUUAACUU